UCUAACCCUAAAUCACUCCUACGGCAGCCACAAAAUAAUUCAAAAACUUUCAAACUUUUCCUUCUCUUUCUCUCUAAUGGCAGCAGCAAGAAUAUUCUAGAAUUAGGGUUUUAUUUUUCUCUUCUUCUUCUUCACAGCCGCAUCUACUAGGGUUAGGGUUCUUUUAAUUUCUUCUCUUCUUCUUCUUCUCACUCUAAUGGCAGCAAGGUUUCUAAGAGAGUUUUCUAGGGUUUUCUAUUAUUCUUCUUCUCUUCUAGCUACAGCCGAACCUAGGGUUUCUUUUCCCUUCUUCUUUUCUUCUUUCUAUAGCCGAAAUACAAAGGUUAUGGUUCUAACAAGCUCUCCUAUUUUUCUCUUCAAAUGGCAGAAAUGAAAUGCUACAACCCGAGACAAGAACAACCCAAAAACUCACUCACUAAAGGCUUUACUCACUCAAAACCGAACCCCCAAAAAUCCCCUUUAACUUUCGGCCAAAACAUAUCAAACCCGAAAACUCAAGAACAUGAACACAUACACAAAUACAAAUACCAGAAAAGUAAUAAGAGUGAGAUGAGAGAAUGCAAACAGUGAUUAAGAAGAUGACACCAAAACUUUGAUCUCGGAGUUCGCCCAAACAACCGGCUACUUCUCCGUCAAGCCCUCAAAGCUUGAAUCCAUUCAUCUCAAAUAAUAGGAGGAGCUCACAUGGAGAUGACAACCCUAAGCCAAAAGGCUCUCUUUUCUCUGUUGUUGAAUCUAUUGUUCUCUCUGGCUGUGACUAUUUACUUUUGUUGUAUCUCUUAUUUUGCUCUGUAUAUUAUUGCUUGUUGUAUCUGAGAAAAGCACCUCCUUUUAUAUACUGUUCUGUGAUCUGAUCUAGGGCAGAGCCCUAGUGAUAUUUGUAACUGUUUUUAUAACUGCUUCAGUUGUAACUGUCUUUGUAACUGUCUUUAUCUUCUUUAGUCUUGAUAUUUGUUGUA